rnacentral:rRNA from 1 species
AGAACGAACGCUGGCGGCAUGCCUAAUACAUGCAAGUCGAACGAACACUUCGGUGUUAGUGGCGCACGGGUGAGUAACACGUAGGUAAUCUACCUUCGGAUGGGGAAUAACAACCGGAAACGGUUGCUAAUACCGCAUAAUGCAGCGGCACCUAAUGGUGACAGUUGUUAAAGCGGGGGAUCGAAAGACCUCGCGUCUGAAGAGGAGCCUGCGGCGGAUUAGCUAGGUUGGUAAGGUAUGGCUUACAGCUACGAUCCGUAACCGGCUGGAGAGGGCGUACGGUCACGACGUGACAGUCGACAGUACGG